rnacentral:rRNA from 1 species
GUUUGAUCCUGGCUCAGAUUGAACGCUGGCGGAAUGCUUUACACAUGCAAGUCGAACGGUAACAGGUCUUCGGAUGCUGACGAGUGGCGAACGGGUGAGUAAUAUAUCGGAACGUGCCCAGUCGUGGGGGAUAACGUAGCGAAAGUUACGCUAAUACCGCAUACGAUCUAAGGAUGAAAGCGGGGGAUCGCAAGACCUCGCGCGAUUGGAGCGGCCGAUAUCAGAUUAGGUAGUUGGUGGGGUAAAGGCUCACCAAGCCAACGAUCUGUAGCUGGUCUGAGAGGACGACCAGCCACACUGGAACUGAGACACGGUCCAGACUCCUACGGGAGGCAGCAGUGGGGAAUUUUGGACAAUGGACGCAAGUCUGAUCCAGCCAUUCCGCGUGCAGGAUGAAGGCCCUCGGGUUGUAAACUGCUUUUGUACAGAACGAAAAGGUCUCCAUUAAUACUGGGGGCUCAUGACGGUACUGUAAGAAUAAGCACCGGCUAACUACGUGCCAGCAGCCGCGGUAAUACGUAGGGUGCAAGCGUUAAUCGGAAUUACUGGGCGUAAAGCGUGCGCAGGCGGUUAUGUAAGACAGAGGUGAAAUCCCCGGGCUCAACCUGGGAACUGCCUUUGUGACUGCAUAGCUAGAGUACGGUAGAGGGGGAUGGAAUUCCGCGUGUAGCAGUGAAAUGCGUAGAUAUGCGGAGGAACACCGAUGGCGAAGGCAAUCCCCUGGACCUGUACUGACGCUCAUGCACGAAAGCGUGGGGAGCAAACAGGAUUAGAUACCCUGGUAGUCCACGCCCUAAACGAUGUCAACUGGUUGUUGGGUCUUAACUGACUCAGUAACGAAGCUAACGCGUGAAGUUGACCGCCUGGGGAGUACGGCCGCAAGGUUGAAACUCAAGGAAUUGACGGGGACCCGCACAAGC